GGUUCCAAAACUUAAAAAUUUCACACUUGGAGAAAAAGAGCCCGACCCGAAAACUCGAGCUCGAGCUCCUCCGAUCCUCCUCACUCGAACUCGCCGCCAUUGUAACACUCAUCGCCUCCUUCAUCUGGUCCUUCAUCUCACCGCCUCCCACUACGACGACGCCUGGGACGAAGACGACGACGACGUCCUCAUCGACUCCAGCUGCUGCCCUCCUCCGGCCAAACCCUAAUUCGUUGAUAUCGGCCCCGCAUUGUGCUCCGACGAGGACGAUGACAUCAUCUAGGCCCUUCUAAACGGUGCCAUUGCGUCUUACUGUCUCGAAUCGAAGCUUGGCGACUGUAAGAGAGCAGCGACGAUUCGGCGCGAGUGGCUUCUCAUCUCCGAUCGGUGUAUGGAUUUCUAAACCCAGCCCCUCUUUUUCUUUUUCGCUCCUCCAUGUGUUCAAUUGUUGAAGUCCAGCUUGGGUGGCUUCUCAUCUCAGCUUCUCAUCUCCGAUUGUUUUUGUUCAGAGUUUGUGGGUGGCUUCAAGAACAUUAAAUUUGUGGAGAAAGUCCAGCUUGGGUCUUGCUUCCUUCCAAUCUUUUAUCCCUGCUGGGUUUCGAAUCAGGUCAGAGGAAGAAGAAGUUGCUAGCUACAAGGUGUACACUAUGGAGGGAAAGCUGAAAGGGACUCUUAGGAAGAGCUUCAGGUGGCUCAAGGAGACCUGAGAUAGAGUGCUCUAUGGCCGAUCGCACCCAGAUUGUGUCAGCUACUGAGCCAACUUGGGUAGCUGCUGAUUUGGCAAAGCUCUUCAAUUUUUGCUCAGUUGUGGAGCCAAUUUUCAGGAAGGCUCAUGGUUGUUGUAAAAUGCUUUGAACUGUUAAUACUGAGUAUAAGGAAAGGAAGGCAACUGUUCAGACUAGAUGAACAAAGCCUACCACAACUAAUGAGCAGGAGGAGAUUGAUGCACAAGAAGAAGAAAAAACGGAUACGGAUAGGAAUAUGUCAACGAUGUUUGAGAUCUUAAGAAAGAAGAAACGCUUCCGACUGGAAUGUUUAAUAUUAAACAAAAUGUUCUUUGCAUAGACAGUCGAGAAUCCAUUUGCUCUUUCAUUCCUUGUUAAAGAUGGCCGGGCUGAAAUCAUAGUUGAUGCAAAUCAUUCUCAUUUUGUUGGCUUAUAGGUAAUUAAACACAGGAACAAACUAAAAUUUUAUGAUAAACACGGCUCUUUCUAUACCAACUCGUUGGUACUUGGGGUCAACUUCUCUUUUUGAAACCUUGGAAAGAGUUCAAGUUGUGGUACGACAAACAUAAGGCUGAUUCUGGUAUGUAUUGCUGUUUACUUUUCUAUAUGUAAUUGCUGUCAUUUUGGCCUUAGUAACUUCCCCUUUGCCUUCACCAAUUAUGCCUCUUUAUAACUUUUGUUAUGUAUAUAUUGAAUUUGAUGGGUUUACAGACUUUGAGAUGGACACUUAUGGGUGGAUUUGUCUUGCCUGUAUUAUCCCUUUUGCACUAGCAGUGCGUGGAUGCUGUCAUACGGCUACAUGUAGAUUAUUUAAAACUUAACAUUGCGUGGUUAAUACCUUAAAGAGGUUCAAUCUUAAUGUUGCAAAUGUUUGCUCUAGUUGGGUGGUUAAGUCCCCUCCCUGCUGACAUUAGGUUGAUAUGCUAUUGCUAGUGUAUUAUUUAUGUAUGCCAUGAUCCUUAGGGUUUGCUAGAUCUGAUUAUUCUGGUUCUGCAAUGUAGUUAAUUGUGAAGAUCUUUCUUUCCAUUGUGUUCAAUUAUUGGCACUGCCUACAGGCUGUGAGGGUUCUUAUUUUUAGGGCACUUGACUUCCGGUUUGCUGUUUUUCCAGAUUUAUUCUUGACAAGAAAAUAGGUCUCGGUCAGCCUAAAUAAACAUUGCAUUCUUUCCUUUCAGGUGCUGAAUGCUGCAUGGGAUGUUUGCAUACCAAUUUCAAGUGAGAAUGCUCUUUUAUGUCAUAAUCGCGUCGGGUACAACAAGAUAUUGGAUAAUUCAAGUGCUAAUUGUAGCUUGUCGUUCAAAUGUUUCUAGGCCAGCCUGUGUAGGUUUUGGGGUUUUAUUUUGUGAAUUAUGUAGAAUCAUGAAUUUGGAAAGAAAAUUAAUGGAAAUCCCCAAUUUUUGGAUGAUGAGAAAUGUAUAUCUUUUCCCACC